rnacentral:lncRNA from 1 species
CGAUGACCCUAGGUUGGCUGACAUCAGUCGCUAGACCCGCAGCCCGCAGGCCCCGUUAGUCCCUGAACUGGCUUUCAUGGCCCAAGGUGUCUGUCAGUACUGCUGGGAAAGCUGCCUGUCCUGGACAUUUGCCAUCUGCUGCACCCAGUCCCGAGACCCCAACUCGGUCAUCCGAAGAAGCCACAUCUCUGGACAGCCCAGGAUCACCAGACACCUGAGAAAGAAGAAAAGGGACUCAGAAGAAACAGAGACGAUAAAGGAAGCCGAAGAAAAAUGAAAACUAAAAUGCCAUUCUCAGUCAAUAAAAAGGAACUGGGGGCUAUAGAGAAAGAAACCUCGG